UCCCACCAAUAAGCUCUUAUUAAAGUUAACCUUUAAGCCAGACAUUAAUUCGAACAGUAGUAGGUUUGCUUUUAUUAACCUAAUAAUAAUAUUGUUUGAUUUAGGUUUUUACAUGAUAGACAAAACCAAACACAAUUUCAAUAUUUCCCUCACAUUCUCUCUUUUACAUUCAUUCUUCUUUCUCCUUCUCUCUCCACACAGUUUGCGAUUUUUUCAAUGCAGCUCCUGCGCAUUCCACAUAUUUGGGAAAUGAAAAUGAUUCAAGUUGGUGCGGUGAUGUGAUUCUUGCAGGACCUUGCCUUUGGUACAACACUGAUAUUUUUCCAUUAAGGAUCUUGUAUGCUGACUAUGUUGUUGAGACUUUGAGAGAUUAAGCAGCAGAAGAGGAUUUUUUUUGGAGUAAAAUUGAAGAAAAGAUAAAGUAUGUUUUAGUGGGGAGUUGUUACUGGACUUGGGAAAGGAGUUACUGCUAGCAUUAUUGGAGUGCUCCUUCAUAAAAUGUUCAUAUCUGUUCAAUAGAUUUAUAAAACUAUGAACAUGUUUUUUUCUUCUAAAAUUGAUAUUUUCCAAUUUUAGCAAAACACAAUCAUGCCCAUACCCUCUUCAACUGAUAAGGGAAAGGAUUUCAUUCCCAUAGAAGACCUCCUCAUCCCUAAAGCCUUUGCUCCGUCGAAGAGGUUCUCUAGAGAUGAUUCAAAUGGGGAAUCAAGCCCUUCAAAAUUCUUGAUUCCAAAGCAAUAGGUCACAAGUGUUCAAGGCUCAAGAGUGCUAGGCGUUCCAAAGCCAAAUGAUUGCCACAUUUUCUACUAUAAUCUACUAAGUCUUCAUAUGCACCUUCAUUUUUUGACAUAUGAAUAUAUUUUGUGUAAGGAUUUAUUAUUAUGCCUUUAGGAGUCAUAUUAUGUGCAAACUUUAGCCAUCUUGAUCAAAAUGAUUAGACUUGAUUUGUAAUGAAUUUUCCAAUUCUAUGGAAAACAUGUUUUCUGCAAUGAAAAACCAACCUAUUAUAUAUAUGUUCUAGACUUGUCUCUUUUCAUUUUUCCAUUCAUAUGAUACAUUCAUGUCACAUAUAAAAUUAUUCAAAUCUCAUUGAUAUUUAGAUUGUAUCUAAGAUUUUUACGUGACGCCAUGAUGAUGAAUACCCUCAUUGAUACAAACUGUUCCUAUGAACAUCUGCUCAACACUAUUUGAACCACAUUUAGUAUUUGUUCAAGUUAACUAUAAACAUUUAGUAAUUGUUUCUAUGCAUUACUCAUACAACACAACUCAAGGUCCAAUGCUUCAUUAUGAUGACUGCUAAACCGCAUUGGUAUGGGCACCAUGUUGUACUAGGUUGGUGCAGGUACAGCUAUAGGUCCUAUACGAUUCAGACAAAGCCGCUGAUGCAGGUACAACUGCUUGUAUUUUUUUUCCUUUGUUACCAAUGCUGAAAAUAACAAAAUUCAGAAAUGCUUUACAAAAUACAACUUUUUCUUAAUUCAUGUGACAUGUCCUGUCAAUUGACAAUAUGUACUU